UACAGAGGUGGCAAGCGUUGUUCGGAAUUACUGGGCGUAAAGGGCGCGUAGGCGGCCUUCUAAGUCAGACGUGAAAUCCCCCGGCUUAACCUGGGAACUGCGUCUGAUACUGGGAGGCUUGAGUAUGGGAGAGGGAUGUAGAAUUCCAGGUGUAGCGGUGAAAUGCGUAGAUAUCUGGAGGAAUACCGGUGGCGAAGGCGGCAUCCUGGACCGGUAUUGACGCUGAGGCGCGAAAGCUAGGGUAGCAAACGGG
rnacentral:rRNA from 1 species